rnacentral:rRNA from 1 species
UGCGCAGGCGGAAUAAUAAGUCAGUGGUGAAAUCUCCCGGCUCAACCGGGAAACUGCCAUUGAUACUGUUAUUCUUGAGUACAGUUGAAGUGGGCGGAAUGUGUCAUGUAGCGGUGAAAUGCUUAGAUAUGACACAGAACACCGAUAGCGAAGGCAGCUCACUAAGCUGUAACUGACGCUCAUGCACGAAAGCGUGGGGAUCAAACAGGAUUAGAUACCCUGGUAGUCC